AUUGAACGCUGGCGGCAGGCCUAACACAUGCAAGUCGAGCGAGCGGCGGACGGGUGAGUACUGAAUGGGGCCUGCCAGAUAGAAGGGGAUCACUACUGGAAAAGGUGGCUAAUACCGCAUACUCUCGGAUAACCCAUAUGGGAUUAUCUAGUGGGGGGGGUAAAGGCUCACCUAGGCGACGAUCUCUAGCUGGUCUGAGAGGAUGGUCAGCUACACUGGGACUGAGACACGGCCCAGCAUCAUACGGAGGCAGGAGAGGGGAAUAUGGCACAAGGGGCGCAAGCCGGAUGCGACCAUGCCGCGGAUAUGAAGGGGGCCUUAGGGGUGGAAAGGACUUUCAGCGGGGAGGCGUUACCCGCAGAAGAAGGACCGGCUAACUCCGUGCCAGCAGCCGCGGUAAUUC
rnacentral:rRNA from 1 species